CUGUAACUUCUGUAAUGAACACCCGGAAUCUGUUGUGCAUUUGUUUUGGCAUUGCCCUGUUGUCACGAAUUUCUGGCAAAACCUCUGUAAUUUUAUUUCUGAACGUAUUGUUAAAAACUUUAUUUUACUGUGGAAAAACGUAUUGUUUGGUCUCACAGAAAAUGACACAUUUAAAAAGUCUCAUGUUUACAUAAUUAACCUUAUUAUUUUGAUGGCAAAAUUUCAUAUUCAUAAAUGUAAAUUUGCGAGUAGUAAGCCAUGCUUUAUUGCCUUUGAGAAAGAGUUCAAGCAAUACAUCUGUUCGAUUAAGUACUCUUCAAAACAAAAGGCAGUUAGGACUUUAACGGCUUGUUCUGUAUUAGGAAUCUUUAUAUAGAUGAUCUUUUUUUUUCUUUCUUCCCCCCUAGCGUUAAACUCUAUAUUUGAUGUUUUAUAUUGGACUUGUAUGUCUGCUUGAAGUUAAUAAUAAAAAAAAAAGUCUCGCUUCUUCCGUCCGAAGUGAACGACGCUGUGUCAACGCCUUGGAUCCGUUGGGGGGCGGUAGGUGAUCGGAGUCGUACGGGUUCUGAUUGCUAAAACUGGGUUUUGAAACUGAUUACUGAAAUUGGUUAGAUGUUGUUACCGUUUUGGUUAAUGCUAUCCGAAAGUAGAGCGCUCCUGUGAAACCUUUUGUAAGCUGAAAUGGUGUAAAGUGAUGAAGCAAUUACCAUUAAUCUAUAUCGGAAACAUUUCCGAGUGUUUCCAGACCCCAAAAAGCUUCAAUUAACGGAACCAAUACUGCCAUGCGCUGCGUAAGGACAGGGAUGCGUUCCGAGAAAGGCAUUGUUAGGUGGCUUUGUUGUUGUGAGAAUGUCAUUGUGCACUUACACAAACGUAGAUGCUAAUGUCUACUGCACACUUAGGCUAUAUGGUAUAGCCUAAACAACGAUAAAAAAAGUACAGGAAAUGUACUGUACAAAAUACUGGAUAAUGAUGAUAAAUGUAUGUGUUAUAAUUGUAUUCACACCAGCAUCACCACAAACACACGAGUUAUGUGCCAUGAUGCUACACUAUGAUGUCGCUAGGCGGGAUUUUUCAGCUCUACUAUAAUCUUUCAUUCCAUCAACAAAAACAGAUGCUAAUGUAGGUCUUUCAUAAAUGCGGAGUGGUGUAAAGCGAACGUUCCUAAAGCGGGGGAUACCUGUGUUGGGUUUCCUAGCUGAUGCGUGUAUCGAAAAAGCUGAUUCAGUUCGUUUCAAUCGUAUUUGUAUAGUGCAUUUUCACAAUAUUACAUCCUCUCAAAGUGCUUUACAUUAUCCCCGACAGUGUCAAGGAAAUAUUCUUUGGGAGGAACCAAACUCUUAGGGGGAGUCCGUCCUACAGGGGCCAGCAGAGGAAGUCAAAUGAACAAGAUGGCAAAGUCCCAAUUCACACUGACCAAAUUUUAAGAUUUGCAGGGGGCAGACAUGCCGAUGCUGCUUGUGGUAGAAGGAUGAACAGUGGUACAGCAGCAAGGAAGGAAGGAGAGACGUCACAAGGACAAGGGCGGGCAGGCCGGAAGGACGUCACAGGUAGCAGAGACGUCACAGGCAACGGUGUCUGGAAGAGCUGAACCUGAGUGCUAACCCUCUGGGAGACUGGGUAUCGCAGCCUCUCUCCUCUGUCCUGUCAGCCUGCCCCCUGCUGGCCACUCUGUCCCUGCAAGCCUGUGGCCUCACUGCUCGUUUCCUGCAGCAACAUCGCCUCCUGCUGGCCAGCACACUUGCGGGGGCACUGCACCGUGCAACAUCUGAGCUUGUCUGCCAACGGCCUGAGUGACACGGACGUCCUGUGCUUGGCCAGGUGCCUGCCCCUCUGCCCAUCUCUGGAGUCCCUAGACCUGUCGGGGAACCCCGGUGUGACGGAGGCUGGGUGCACUGAGGGACUCGGGGCAAAUGCUGGCCUUCCUUGACCUGCAGGUUAAGACUGACACCCACGCCGACUCCACACUGACCUCACGCAGACCCCCUACAACACGAAAUGACAGGAGACGUGGUCCUGCUCAGACAGAGAGUCGUAUUGUGUGGGAAGCAUCGUCAUGGAAACACAAACCUAUGUGGUGUUGGUGUGCAUGUUGUGUGUCUGUUCAUUUUCUCCUGUGGUUGAGAAGUUGUUGCUGUAAUGC